UGCGAUCCACGAAGUGGUGGUGCUCCACGUUAGUUCUCGCGUUAAUUCCGGCCGCGUUACAGGCACGCUCGCGACACGCUCUCGCACUCUGACAGCGACUGACAAUUUCCCCGUGCAACGAGUGAAUGCGGAUUUGGAAAGUAUGAGGAUCCGGGUUGGUGAUUUGCAGGACGCUUAAGUGAGAUCUUGAAAACGAAUCCUCAAGAAUCCUUCAUUUACUCAUAGUUUAUCAAAGAUGAUAUAACUGAAUACUUCGAACAAUACGCAGGACACGCGAUGAAUUGCCCAGCUUUUAUAUAUGCAUUUCCAAGAACUCUGACAGUGCGUUCUAACGGACAAUUAAAACGAAGAUGUGCAACGAAAAGGAACGAACAAUUGGGAACUCGGAAAAAAAUCAGCAAACGUAUCGAGAGCUAUCACGUCACUAAUCUCGUAAGACCGCGGAAAGACAAUACGAGUCUCGAGAUCUCGUUAUCUCGGACAGAUAGGAAGAUGGGAAGAG